UACGUAGGACCCAAGCGUUAUCCGGAAUCACUGGGCGUAAAGCGUACGUAGGCGGAAAUUUAAGUGAUGUGCGAAAUCCUGGGGCUCAACCCUAUGGACUGUACAUCAUACUGGGUUUCUAGAGGAUGGCAGAGGCAAGUGGAAUUGAUAGUGUAGCAGUGAAAUGCGUAGAUAUUAUCAGGAACACCAAUGGCGAAGGCAGCUUGCUGGGCCAUAUCUGACGCUGAGGUACGAAAGCGUGGGGAGCGAA
rnacentral:rRNA from 1 species